rnacentral:lncRNA from 1 species
AUGAUAGAUAGACAGAGAGUAGAUAAUCCGCCGGUCGGAAGACAUUCUAUGAAGGCAAUUGUUGCUUUUGGUCUAGAGACAGUAGAUGGCACACUGCCAUGCCAAGAAGCCAACUUUUCGUUGAGGAGGAGAAUAGGGAGUAUUGAGAAGCAUUAUAGGGAAAAAAAAUCGUCUUUUAAAAAAAUAAUAGGAUAUAACCAUCACAACAUCAUUACUUUUCGGCCAAGGUAAACAUAAAAAAUCCUAGAAAUAUAUUAACUUAGUUAUUAAAUUUACUUGUUUUUU